UGCAAGUCGGGCGGGCACUUUCGGGUGUCAGCGGCGGACGGGUGAGUAACGCGUGGGAACGUGCCCUCUGGUUCGGAAUAACUCAGGGAAACUUGAGCUAAUACCGGAUACGCCCUUUUGGGGAAAGGCUUGCUGCCGGAGGAUCGGCCCGCGUCUGAUUAGCUAGUUGGUGAGGUAACGGCUCACCAAGGCGACGAUCAGUAGCUGGUCUGAGAGGAUGAUCAGCCACACUGGGACUGAGACACGGCCCAGACUCCUACGGGAGGCAGCAGUGGGGAAUAUUGGACAAUGGGCGCAAGCCUGAUCCAGCCAUGCCGCGUGAGUGAUGAAGGCCUUAGGGUUGUAAAGCUCUUUUAUCCGGGACGAUAAUGACGGUACCGGAGGAAUAAGCCCCGGCUAACUUCGUGCCAGCAGCCGCGGUAAUACGAAGGGGGCUAGCGUUGCUCGGAAUCACUGGGCGUAAAGGGCGCGUAGGCGGCGUUUUAAGUCGGGGGUGAAAGCCUGUGGCUCAACCACAGAAUGGCCUUCGAUACUGGGACGCUUGAGUAUGGUAGAGGUUGGUGGAACUGCGAGUGUAGAGGUGAAAUUCGUAGAUAUUCGCAAGAACACCGGUGGCGAAGGCGGCCAACUG
rnacentral:rRNA from 1 species